rnacentral:tRNA from 1 species
GGGGUUGUGGCUCAAUGGUACAGCGCUUGCCUAGCAUGUAUGAGGCCCUCAGUUUGAUUCUCAGCACCUCA